rnacentral:lncRNA from 1 species
CAUGCUACCAUUUGCGGUUGUGGAUUUUUUGCAUGGUGGAGGUGUGGCAAUAUUACCCUGCAAGUGGUUUACUGGACCAGAGGAAGAUACAUGUUACUGGCCACCAGGACGACUCAACAUAAGCAAGGCAGUAAAAGAUGAAAUUCUUCCGAACCCUACUUGGCCCCAGUUCAAAGUGCGUGUCCUGGGAAAAGCAGGUAAUGUGACUUUUUUUUUAAUGGUGACUGGUAAUAAUAAUAUGCAUGUAUCUAAUAACACAAGUACGGUGUGCUUCUGAAAUAGUAGUUACUAAAACUUAUUGGUAAAUGUCUAUCACCUACAGGAACCUAUGCCCACGCCACAGAAAAGCUUUUAAAGGCCGAAGCGACCUCAGACUUACAGAAGGAGUCAGAUUCUGGAAGGCGGAUGGGAAAAGGGAAUCGCAAAAGAAAGCCAGUGUGUCUGUCAAGCUCUGAUGAGGAACUCGGUGGUGCCGGGCAUGAUCAUCCAUCCAGUGUGCCUUCACCUCAACCAAUUCCAGAGAACCUCCAACCGCAGGCUCCCCACUCACUCAAGACCCGUCCAUUUAUUCAACCACCUUCAAUUCCUUUAAUGACCGUUGCUUCAGAACACCCCAGCAGAGUUCUGCAAGGUGCCAGUUCUGCAUUUAGAGAUGCCAUGUUUGCACGUCUCCUAACCGUCCUGGAGGAAAUAUAGGAGACGCAAAGGGUCCAUGGGAGGAUGAUACAGUCACUCCUCACACAACGGGAUGCAAGUGCAGUUACAGCACUUCCAGAAGAUGUUGUUUUCCCACUGAGGACGGUCUCGGAUGUUGCUGCAAUGGAGCAAAAAUUGGCAGACCCCACCUUCCACAAACAAGUGGUUGGCGUGGUGGCAGAAAUUGGAGGGAGAUCAUUGGAUGAAGCCACCAGAAGAAUGAUGGCCUUCCUUUUUGACCACACCCUAUCUAGAGAGUAUAUUUUGUUGGCCGCCAUGGAAAGCGAGAGUUUCGGGGGCUCAAACUGUUUGAGGUUGUAUAUGGUAAUCGCUGUUUAACAUAUUAAUGUGCAAACAAAGGUUAUUUUGUAGAGUUGAGUUCUUCAUAAAUCAAUUUGAUUUUAUGCAAAUAAUUGCCCAUACCUGGAUAGAGAAUACCCUUAAUUAUGACAAUAUGGACCAGGUAUACUGCCAAUUCAGUGAUAAGUAACUGUUAAUUAGUGGUGUAGCAAUCACACAAUUCAUGGUUUAUAAUAAAUAAUAAAGUUAAAUCAUUAUUAAAUACAAGUGAGGUACUACAAAUAAAAUAAGUAAAAAUACACUAGUUACAAGCAUAGGUAAAUACAAUUGAACAAAAUUUACAAAUUUAAAUUAACUGUAGUUUUCAGGUACAGGUACAGAACCAGUCCCUUGUUUGUUUGUUUAAUAAAGCUUUGCAGCAAAAAUGUCGUGUUUGGCAGAAUAUUAUAUCCGAUACCAUAUUGUAUUACCUGAAAAAUUACAUGGUGGAGAUUUCUGCUUUGUUGCAAGGGCUCAAAUGAAGAUUUUAAUCUCACUCUAAUGCUCUUUAUCUAUUUUACAGGAAAGAAAUGCCCUUACAAACCAUAUUACAAGAAGAGAUGCUGAAAAGGCGGUGUCUAAGUGGCUAAUUGGUGCCAGGGACAGGGGAGGAAACCGCACAGCGAGGGCACGUGGUGGAGAGCAAGAUGGGUAAAAGUCAUUAUCAUUAAAACUGCAAAGUGUUUAGCCUACUUACAUUUGUGUAAAACACAACA